rnacentral:rRNA from 1 species
AUGGGAGUCGACAAGCACGAGAUGAAGGACAAUAUGGAGGAAAAAGAGAAGCUUAUCUCCCUCAAAUAUGAACAUCUCCCAGAUUUUUGUUAUAACUGCGGUAUUUUAAGUCACAAGGAGAAGUCAUGCCCGAUCAGAACCGGAAGACAGGGACAUAAAAAUUUUGGUCCAUGGCUGCAAGCAACUAUUCUCAGGAGUAGCUCCAGUGAAGAGAAAAGCAGGAGCUCAAAUGACAGAAGGGGUUUCUGGUUAACAAACAAUGCAGGCAGCAAUGGCAGCAAGCAGGGAAGUGAUGCUCCAUCUUGGAAGAGAAAUUCAUCACCGGAUAGGGAUAAUGAUAGGUCAAGGAAAGGUGAGGAGAAUGAAGUAGCAAGCCCCCUGAUAACGGUGCAAGAAAGCAAAACUCAGCCAGCUGAAGUAAGGAGGCCGUCUUUAGAGGAUAAUACACAAGUAUCCGAGACAAAGUGGAAUAAGGCAGAAGAUGACUUUGAACCUAGAAAUAGAAAUACUUCCGAAACAGUUUUAUUGCUAAUAGCUAAAGAGACUGCCAAUAAAAUUUUUUUGCCAGCGGAGGAAGUAAAUGAAGACAAGGAGAGGCCUCAUGUAAAGGUGGACGGACAGAAGAAGGAAAUCAAAGACCCAAAGAAGGUCAACAAUGCAAAACAAGGCACUUUCAAGCGCAUUCCGAGAGCAAAAAAUAAUCAUCAACAAGAUCAGAGCUUUGAAUUUGAAUUGAAAAAGAGGAGUGCUAUGCUGAUGGAGGUAGAUACAGAAGCCAAGCCUUCAAAGAGAACUAGAAUGGAGGUCGACGGUGAGAAUAAUGGAGAUGGUGAAAAAGAAGAAAAUAACAACUCUAAGAUUGUGAACGCUGGGCUGCAAGGACAGCCCGACGAACCAAAAUGA